UUCGGAAUCUUGACGUUACGAUGAAGAGUUUGUAUCGCGUAAAUUCUGAUACGGUAAACCCUAACACUGCUUAAAUUCUCGUCGAAUCAAAGCUCCGACCAUGGCGAUUUGGACUUUGUCCAAUCCAAUCCUGUAACUUUGACUAAUAAUUGCACGAACGCGAGAUAUUUGUUGCUUCCGAGCUCGAUUCCUCCUUAAAAAGCGCAAGAAAAAGCAGGGGAAAUCGUGAGAAGAAGAUCAAUUCCCUAGGAAGCAGAGAUGGGCAGCACCCCGAAUGAUUUCUCAGUCAUCAUUCUUCCUUCUGAUGGCGGUGUCGAUUCGCGGCCAUUUUUGUCUGACAAAGACAAGGACAGAACUGAAGAUGCAGAGAAUUGGCACGACUGUUCCCAAAACCUUUCCUCCGAUGAAGACUUCUCAGAUCUCGAUCUGCUGCAGUUUGUCCGUCUCGAGGGCUCCGACAAGAGUGGGAAUCGCAUCUUCCGCGUAAUCGGAAAGUACUUCCCUGCUGUGGUUGUAAGUGGAGAGCGGCUGAAGAAAUAUAUCCUCCACAAAUUCCACAACGAAUUGGCAGAGGGUCCAUUUUGUGUUGUUUACUUUCACACUAGUACCCAGAAGGAUGAUAAUUGUCCAGGCUUAACCAUCUUGAGAUGGAUUUAUGAAGAACUUCCCUCUGAUUACAAGGAUAGACUUAAAGUUCUCUACUUCGUUCACCCUGGGCUCCGUUCAAGGCUCGUCUUAGCGACUCUUGGUCGUUUUUUCUUAAGUGGCGGAUUGUACUGGAAAGUCAAGUAUGUGAGCCGCCUUCAGUACCUUUCGGAAGAAAUAAAGAAGGGAGAGGUUGAGAUUCCUGAUUUUGUGAAAAGUCACGAUGAAGUUCUUGAGCACAGACCAUUGACAGAUUACGGCAUCGAACCCGAUUCCCUCAAUGUUGGGGAGGUGCCUUCUUCUGCCUACUCAUUUGGGAGAUACGAGGAGAGAUGGAUGUCGAGGCAGUAUAUGACCUAGUUAGCUUGACUAAAGAAAUUGUAUUUGAUCCUAGGCAAGGUUAAGGUUUAUCAGCGAUAGCAUGAACCAUGGCUGAACAAUAAAAGCUUUGUACAUUCUGGUGUGUUGUGUAGCUUGUAUUAGUAACUUCUCUAGUGUUGCUUGUAAGUUUUUUUAGUUCAACAACAUGUUGGGAUGGACCAGUCGACCUAGCUCAGGUUGGCUAGUGUUGCUUGUAAGAUGAAUGGUGGGCUAUUCUGCUCUACAGAAUGGUUGUAGUCGAUAGCUUAUUCAACAUCUUUAUGCUGUGCAGGACUGCAUUGAACUGGUUAUUGGAGAUUGUAGAUGUGGAGGUUUAUUGCUGUUAUACGGACAAUCUUCCAGGAGAAAUCAGCAGCAUGCCUCACAAAUCCAGCAGCAGCACAAAGCAAAAAGGCUGCAUCCAAUUCACAAGUUUAGAAGGUGAGAUUUGGUUUCUCCUCUAGUGAUCAAAUGAAAAAAGAACAAGUAAAAACACACACCAUCCUUCAAUGAAGCCUCUGUCUCCUCGUUUCUUUGUGGCGCCCCAGAACCGUCUCUUCCCUGUCCCGGCAUCGGUGGUCGGGUACCCUUCAGUUGAGAACGGUUAGAGAGAGUUAAAUUUCGAGAGGUAAAAAAGAGAGAGAGAGAGAGAGAGAGAGAGAGAACCUGGUGGGUGAAGGUCUUGUUUUGCUUCUGAUAUGAGCAUCUUUGAAGCUUGGAAGUAGAGUAGUGUGUGCAAUUAAUUACUUGUAUGUAUAUAUCAAUCCUCUGCUCACAGAAAGCUAUGGAGGUUCGUGGAAACAAAGGUUGGGAAUAUGAUUCUGAUAGUCACUGAUGACCAACUUAACUUCAA